ACAUGGGUGGCUCAGUCGGUUGAGCGUCUGACUUUGGCUCAGGUCAGGAUCUCAUGGUUCGUGGGUUUGAGCCCCACAUCGGGCU
rnacentral:tRNA from 1 species